GUUUAUUCCAGCUACAGUAUCCUUGCAGUAUACGCAUACGGAUCCACUAGCAUAAAGACAUAGAGAAAAGAUAGGAAGUUAGUCUCGCGCAACCCAACUCAAAUUUAAAAUGUUAGUAAUUGCAUAAUUCAGUUUUCAUUUUUGCGCCAAUCAUAAGAUAAAAGUUUGGUUAUGACGUAAUGUUCAGUGAUUCAGUUUGAUUUAUUCCACCAAGUUUGUGUCUGACAAAAUAUAACUUUAUCUAAAUAUCUACAUUCCGCUUGACUAUUAUAAUCAUGGACUCAAACUCCUAUGCACAGUUUAGCACAAAAAUUGAAAAUCUAAGACCUUCUUAAUAUAUCCUGUAUUGUUACCAAACAUUCGUCACACCAGCAUUUCCUGCAAAACACCAGUGUCAUCUGCCAAGACGACGAUCUCUAUUAGUUGACUGAUUGAAUUAAAACGAUAAUCAGUGAUUGAAUAUAUAUAAUUUGCAAUCAAGAGUAAUUACAAAAUUGACUUCGAAUACGUCCGAUGCAGAACCACGAUAACACAAAUGCAAACAACAAUAACAACAUAGAUAGUAUCAUGUUUGAGUAUUGAACUCGCAUCCAGAUUUUUGUUUGGGACAAGAAUUUUCUAUUUCAAUAUUGAAGAUGUCAUUGAUUCAUCAAACUGGUGAACAUGAGCAGAAAUUUAACCUUUCAUAAAUUUAUUAUGAAUCAAGGACGACUAGUGUUUUGACAUGAAUAGCCACAAAAAGAAGCACUACAACUACUAUAACUACCAAGCCUACUUUCGCAGUCAACAUGACUUUGUACAACCACAGCACGCGGGAAAAACAGCUGAUUGAUUGAUGCGAGGAAAGCUAGAAAGUAAAGUAAAAUCGUCUUCGCCUUUUAAACAACAUUAACGUAUUUUUGCCAUUUUAGAGUUUGAAUGAUUUUUGGUUUACGAUGAGCAAGUCGUACUAAAGCAUUGCGGAACCUGCUAUUCAAGCAUUGUUGUUGCUUCCAUCAACAUUGUUGUGCGACUCUGCAUUUUCAGUGCUGCUUGAUAUCAAAUCGAAAUAAAAGUCCGCUGAGCAUGA